rnacentral:rRNA from 1 species
GGCUUAACACAUGCAAGUCGAGCGGAGAUGAGGUGCUUGCACCUUAUCUUAGCGGCAGGACGGGUGAGUAAUGCUUAGGAAUCUGCCUAUUAGUGGGGGACAACAUUCCGAAAGGAAUGCUAAUACCGCAUACGUCCUACGGGAGAAAGCAGGGGAUCUUCGGACCUUGCGCUAAUAGAUGAGCCUAAGUCGGAUUAGCUAGUUGGUGGGGUAAAGGCCUACCAAGGCGACGAUCUGUAGCGGGUCUGAGAGGAUGAUCCGCCACACUGGGACUGAGACACGGCCCAGACUCCUACGGGAGGCAGCAGUGGGGAAUAUUGGACAAUGGGGGGAACCCUGAUCCAGCCAUGCCGCGUGUGUGAAGAAGGCCUUAUGGUUGUAAAGCACUUUAAGCGAGGAGGAGGCUACUGAGACUAAUACUCUUGGAUAGUGGACGUUACUCGCAGAAUAAGCACCGGCUAACUCUGUGCCAGCAGCCGCGGUAAUACAGAGGGUGCGAGCGUUAAUCGGAUUUACUGGGCGUAAAGCGUGCGUAGGCGGCUUUUUAAGUCGGAUGUGAAAUCCCCGAGCUUAACUUGGGAAUUGCAUUCGAUACUGGGAAGCUAGAGUAUGGGAGAGGAUGGUAGAAUUCCAGGUGUAGCGGUGAAAUGCGUAGAGAUCUGGAGGAAUACCGAUGGCGAAGGCAGCCAUCUGGCCUAAUACUGACGCUGAGGUACGAAAGCAUGGGGAGCAAACAGGAUUAGAUACCCUGGUAGUCCAUGCCGUAAACGAUGUCUACUAGCCGUUGGGGCCUUUGAGGCUUUAGUGGCGCAGCUAACGCGAUAAGUAGACCGCCUGGGGAGUACGGUCGCAAGACUAAAACUCAAAUGAAUUGACGG